rnacentral:lncRNA from 1 species
AGCAGGGAAGUAUACAAUACAACUAGAAUAUGCUUAACGAGUCAAUAAUUCAUCAUAGACCUCAUACCCGGUCUUUCCUGGUACGCGACUGGUGGCCGGCCUCGCCCACCUCACCUAGCCUUUCUGGCUAUUUCCGGUGCCAGGGUUAUUUGCAGGCUCACCCAAUCCGUACCAUUCAAUACCAUGGCACUUCAGCCAAUACACAUCAUGAUUUCAACAAUAUCAUGAAUUUCAAUA